rnacentral:lncRNA from 1 species
CAACACAUCCACACAAGCUCCCAACUUGAGAGUGUCGAUGGGACACGUGUUCUUUGGUGGUGAUGGGGUUGGCACUGGUGUUGGUGGUGGUGGAGGAGGACAUGGUGUCUCAGUGGGUGGAGGAGGCUUAACUGGUACAACUGGGGUAGGUGUAGGUGUUGGUGGGCUUGGUGGUACAACAGGUGGUGAUGGUGGUGGCUUAACUGGUACAACUGGGGUAGGUGUUGGUGUUGGUGGGCUUGGUGGUACAACAGGUGGUGAUGGUGGUGGCUUAACUGGUACAACUGGGGGCUUGGGUACAUAGGGUGGUGGGGGUUGUACAACUGGGGGCUUGGGUACAUAUGGUGGUGGUGGUUGUACAACUGGGGGUUUGGGGAUGAAGGGUGGGUGCACAAUUGGGGGUUUAGGGAUAAAAGGUGGGUGCACGAUUGGGGGCUUGGGGAUGAAGGGUGGGUGCACAAUUGGGGGCUUGGGGAUGAAGGGUGGGUGCACAAUUGGGGGUUUAGGGAUGAAGGGUGGGUGCACAAUUGGGGGUUUAGGGAUGAAGGGUGGGUGCACAAUUGGGGGUUUAGGGAUGAAGGGUGGGUGCACAAUUGGGGGCUUGGGGAUGAAGGGUGGGUGCACAAUUGGGGGCUUGGGGUGGGGUGGUGGUUUGACAAUAGGAGGCUUGGGGAUGAAGGGAGGUCUCACAAUAGGUGGUUUGGGGACAGAAGGAGGUUUUGGUAUAUGGGGAGGAUAUACAAUGGGGGGUUUGGGGCCAUGAGGUGGCUUGGGUACAUGGGGUGGAUGAGGAUGAGGUGGCUUUGAUGGUGGCUUGGGAACAUAGGGAGGCUUUACAUGAGGGGGAUGGGGUGGUUUUGAUGGUGGUUUGGGAACAUAGGGAGGCUUUACAUGAGGAGGAAGAGGUGGUUUUGAUGGUGGUUUGGGAACAGAGGGAGGCUUUACAUGAGGGGGAUGAGGUGGGUGUUUAGGUGGUUUAGGGAUGAAGGGUGGCUUUACAUGAGGAGGCUGUUUGGGUGGCAAGUGUGGAGGGUAUGUUGGUGGUGGACAGUAGGAGUUAGCAAGAGAAGUGAGCAAACUACCCAAAUUCACAAUGAGGACUAAGAGCAAAGCCAGG